AAAAAACCAAAUUCUUUUCCUCAAGUUUCAUUAAGCACAACCUAACCUAAGUUUCUCGCUGCUCCCCCUUUGCCCGUGUUCUCGUUGUCCCCUUCACACAAACAUUUUCUCAUCUCCAGCAGUUCAGCAACUUCGCCUCCUCAUGCUUGAAUUUCCGAGGAUCUAGAAGGUGUAUUCAAAACACCUGCGCAAACAGGGCAUUUUGCAAGACUAGAUAUUAAGCGAGGGAUUGAGAAAGAAACUGAAGCUAAAGAUGAUUAUGAGCGUUAAUUGAAGAAUGAGAAAGAACGGGAGAAGCUUUUUGUCGGGUUCAGGUUAUUCCUGGUACGGACUCGGAGAUGAUUGAGUACUUUCUUGAUACUGAGGCUCAGGAGACUGAGUAUGAGAUUGCUAGAUCUUUACUGGUGCAUUUUGGCAAGGCUUCUAUGAACCUCCAGCUGAUGGUUUUCAUUUUGAAGUUAAUGAUGAUUCUCCAAUCGUCCAAGAUGACCCUACCUUGUUCGACUACAACGUUCAAGAUCGAGUGAAUUCCUUUGUCGCUGCUGCAAUAUGUCAGGCAAAUGUUACUCGAUUUAAUUAUAUAAUGUGGACCAUGGGAACAUAUUUCAAGUACCAGUAUGCUCAUACAUGGUUCCGGAAGAUGGAUAAGCUGAUUCUUGAUUUAAUUGCGUUCUCCUCUUUGAAUUGUUUGGUUAUUACUGUGUUAUUAUUCCAACUUGUUAUCCUUCUCUGGCCACACAGAGAUCCCCAUGUGAGUGAUGAUGUAUAUAACUUCAUAUCUUACAUGGGAAGGGUCAAGACCCCAUCCUCAAUUAGAUCUUGUAUUGCAUUCUUUAGGUGCAAACACUGUUGGAUAAUAUGGCCUUUUCCCUGAUGAUACUCACAAUAUGAUUUAGGGUCCCAAUACUUUCCUUUAACGCGAGGGUCCUAGGUGUGACCUAUUGGACACAAUAUUCCUUGAGUUGUAAGUUUAGCAAGCAUUUUUAUGUACAACUCGCCUACCGGAGUGAAUUUUUUGUCUCUAAUCCAUCUUUUAACCCUUUUUGGUUGACAAGAAAAUUCAUUAACUGUCUUCGGUUUUUCGAAGAGGGAAAUCUGUCUCAUUAAAAAGGUUAGUUCAUUUAUCCUUUGACGGUCAACUGUCUCAGGAGUAGGGUGCUCCGAAGUGUUAUAACCUAUUCGGCGGAUUAGGCAAUUGAGAUGAUCACUUGGACCGUGCUCAAAAUGAUGAAUUUUCUUAUGUGUUUCUUCUAAGGCGAUGACGUGAGAAGUAAUAUCUUCAAGAGUAAUCUUUAUUAGAUGGAUUUUCUCUUGGAUGGAACUCAUGUUCGGACUACAAAAGAGAGCGGAUUUGAUGAAGUCUUUCCUGACUGAUUGGAAUUUGUGUUGCCGAGCGACCGUUCCUUGAAUUAUGCUCAAGUUGGUUAGGAUAUUUUUAGAAAAGAAUUGAUUAAUUGUUUUUGAAAAGUAAAACUGGUUUUGAAAGUCGGAUGUGAUCACCUAGUUCUUGAUUAAUGUUGACAUAUUAACACUACCAGAAAGUUCAGAUGAUAAGGAAUGCUUGAUCAAUCUGAGUGGCAAAUUGAGUACUUGGAGGUUUGGGUUGCCAGUUUAAAGGUAGUUUUCUUUUGUUCUUGACUGAGUAUUAGACUGAAUAAAUAGGUUGCUCUAAAUCUGGACGAUUAGAGAUUGGGUCAUCAUGAUCAUCUCUAGAUUCAAUCUAAAUAACUAAUUGGGAAAGGACCAAACUUGUAUUUUAGGUUGUAAUUCUGUGUCUAUUAGUCAAGUGAGAGUUAUAGUGCUCUCAUAGUCUAUACUUUUAAGAUCUAGGUGAUUUGAACGGAAUGUAAUAAUCGCUUAUAAAUUAAGGGUGUUAAUUUAUCAAUUUCGAGGUACGGACUGACUUAAUAAUCCUUUUAGAUGGUGAAUGUCAUCUAUAACAAGCGUACUAAUUAUUUGGAGUAUGUUAGCAUGCUAUUUAGGACGCUCAGACUCAAAGGUUGGACAUGGGUUUGACUCAAAACACAAAAAACGGAUUUUGACAAAAGUUGUUGGUUUGCAACAGCUAUAACUUCCAAUCUGUUAACUUUUUUGGGCUGAAACGACCCAGGGUGAUGGACUAAGGUACGGAUUGAUAGAUUAUGGGCUAUAUAGGUUACACUUUAAGUUACGGGAUGAGGAUUAAGCGAACUAUUCUAGGUGUAAGUGGACUUUAGGGGAAGGACUCUAAAUGUGUGAAGACUCCAUAAAAGGUAAUUCUAGGUGAACGAUGACUCUAACGGUAGACUUUAACUUGGUUUAGACUUUAGGAAACAAUUACAGUGAAGACUCUAGGUGGACUUAAACUAGGUGAACUUAGGCUUUGAUGGAUAUGAUGGACUCAAGGAAAGACUCACAUAAAUGGUGACAGACUCGCCUAGGGUUUUUUACUCGACUUGACUCGUCAUUUGCCUCGAAUAUUAUUAAGCGAUUAUAACGAGAAAUUUGGUAUAAAUCCAUUUUUUUAACUAAUUUUUGAAAACAAACUGUUUUUCUUUUUCAGAUAUCUUUGCUUUUAGUGAACGUCAAGGAUUAUUUUAGUAUGAACGGUAUUAUGCCGGACAUUAGUGUUUUUAGAGGACUAAUAACUACUUUACGAAUCGUUUUUUUUUUAAGUCAAGAGCACGUAAAAGUUGUCGAGGAUUGAACCAGUGGGCGCCAGAAAUUUCCAGUGUUAGGAUAAGCAGCGCUUGAAAUUUUCGGCGCACACUUAUGGUGCGCUAGUUAUAUCCAGCGCUUGCAAGCUUUACUCAUGAUUCAUUUGUGCAGUCGGCCUUUUUAGUCAAGUUUACCGUAGCUCGAAUUUCACUAAUAUGAGCCCUUCGUUUGAGCGUUGGUGCGCUCAAACGUUCAGCAUUCCGACGCGAACGGAUAUAAUUCGCCUGUACUGGCCUUUGAGUUUGAUUGGUAAAAGCUAAUUCAGAUUAGUAUUAAUUUUUUACUUGAUUAUGCUCAAUUCCGUGAGAAUACCUUCGGCGCAAUUUUGAAUAUGCGUUUCGUAAUGGGUAUUUUCAGCCAAACCUACGUAAUGCUUAAGGCAAAUGCGUAUUUCGGUCUUUUGAAUUAAUUGCACAAAGGUUCGACUCUUAACUUUUAAACUCUAAUUUACAAGCUUGAAUGCGAGGAAUAAGCAGGGUGUGCGCUGAAAUAAAAUAGCGCACCUUAGCAAAGCGCCAGUUUUCUCCAUCGCUUGCUUGGUCAGUGUAGUUUUGUUUCUGGAACUAGCCAUAUUGGUUUAUUUAAUUCCUCGGUGCAGGCGUUAAAAUUUUCUGGGGAUUCUUAGAUGCGCGCUGGAAAAUUGUAGCGCUGCCUAGGAUAGCGCUGGUUUAUUCUGGCGCUUUGACCUUGGCUGCGAAACUUUAUUCUGAUUCGUAGCUUUAUUUAUUUACUUCGAUAUUUUGAAGCAUUUUUUGAAUUUUGACAACUUUGUUGACCUUAAACUAAGUGUCUGGUUGAUUAUUUACACUUAGCACAUAAAAUAUCUACACGAAACUAACAGCGAGCAUGAAUUCAGGUAUAAUGCGCAUUUAGUUUAUGCUAGUCUCUAAGGUAUAAAAGGCUUGGGUGUCAAAGCGUACCAAACCUAUCGCCAAUUCCCUAACAGGCCCUUGCCAAAGUAGCCAGGUUCAUGACGAAUUUUAUCAAGGUCUAUCUGGUACGUGCUGGAAUGGAAUAUACCGUGAAUGGACCUAGGAGAUAAGCGGUUUGAUUUUGGUGGAUGUGCUACAUUGUGAACGUGCCGAGUGGACAACAUCCGAAGCGCGUGCACCCCCGGGCUGAUAGGUGUCCUUAUUCGGAGCUUCCGAGAUAAAACAUGCUAAGGAAGCCGAGAUUAGAAUCAAUUUCAUAUUGAACCUUCCCAAGCUAAAAAGGACGUUUUUGAAUCUGGUCUACAUAUGAGAUUUGUAAAUUUCAAAUCCAAGUUGGUGACUGGUUGGAUUUCUAAGACGAGAGCGAGAACUAAAGUAGAGAAAGGUGAAAAUGAAGAAACGCUCCCUUUUCACAUUUAGAAGCACAUCACAAAAGGGGAUUGGGAGGCUUUUGUUGCACAAAAAACAACUCCAAAUGCAGUGGAAAGCGCCAAAAGUGUUCAGAAAGUGCAAAGAAGAAAAAACAUAAUCAUGGCUAGGUCCCAAGACUUAUGAAUAAAAGAGGAAGAAAUGGAUUAAGAAAGGACUAUACCCCACCAAAAAGAAAACAAGUGACAUAAACCGUGCCAAUGAUUGGUGGUGUUCGAUGCAUAGUCUCAACGAAAAAGGGAACUAUACCAUUGUUAAUCCUGAAACAAAAGAGGCUUGUGAUAAACUAGUUUUCAAUACUCCAAGGGAGAGGCAAUUUACCAAAAAGGAGAUGCAUGAACUUCGAGACAAGAGGGCUACUUACUUCACCGAUUGUGAAAUACCCUCGUUGUAAAUAAAAUAAGCUAGUAGUUAUCCGUGACUCUAAAAUUACUUUGUUAUUUAUUGAUUUAAUUACAUUUGAAUUUGAAGGAAAUAAUGCCCUUGGUCCAA